rnacentral:rRNA from 1 species
UACGUAGGGCGCAAGCGUUGUCCGGAAUUAUUGGGCGUAAAGAGCUCGUAGGCGGCUUGUCACGUCGGUUGUGAAAGCCCGGGGCUUAACCCCGGGUCUGCAGUCGAUACGGGCUAGCUAGAGUGUGGUAGGGGAGAUCGGAAUUCCUGGUGUAGCGGUGAAAUGCGCAGACAUCAGGAGGAACACCGGUGGCGAAGGCGGAUCUCUGGGCCAUUACUGACGCUGAGGAGCGAAAGCGUGGGGAGCGAACAGG